rnacentral:rRNA from 1 species
UACAGAGGGUGCGAGCGUUAAUCGGAAUUACUGGGCGUAAAGCGCACGUAGGCGGCUUGGUAUGUCGGGUGUGAAAUCCCCGGGCUCAACCUGGGAACUGCAUCCGAAACUGCCUUGCUCGAGUAUGGGAGAGGGAAGUGGAAUUUCCGGUGUAGCGGUGAAAUGCGUAGAUAUCGGAAGGAACAUCAGUGGCGAAGGCGACUCCUGGACCAAUACUGACGCUCAGGUGCGAAAGCGUGGGGAGCGAAC